rnacentral:rRNA from 1 species
AGUCGACGGUAACAGGACUUCGGUCGCUGACGAGUGGCGCACGGGUGAGUAACGCGUGGGUUACCUGCCCAUAAGUGGGGAACAACUUGGAGAAAUCCAAGCUAAUACCGCAUAAUACCUUCGGGUUAAAGAGGGGGAUCUUCGGACCUCUCGCUUAUGGAUGGUCCCGCGUCUGAUUAGCUAGUUGGUAGGGUAAUGGCCUACCAAGGCAAUGAUCAGUAGCUGGUCUGAGAGGAUGAUCAGUCACACUGGAACUGAGACACGGUCCAGACUCCUACGGGAGGCAGCAGUGGGGAAUUUUGCACAAUGGGCGAAAGCCUGAUGCAGCGACGCCGCGUGCGGGAAGAAGGCCUUCGGGUUGUAAACCGCUUUCAACAGGGAAGAAGGAAUGAGAGCUAAUACCUCUCUGCCUUGACGGUACCUGUAGAAGAAGCACCGGCUAAUUUCGUGCCAGCAGCCGCGGUAAUACGAAAGGUGCAAGCGUUGUUCGGAUUUACUGGGCGUAAAGAGAUCGUAGGUGGCUUGUUAAGUCGGAUGUGAAAUCCCGGGGCUCAACCCCGGAACUGCAUCCGAUACUGGCAGGCUUGAGUUUGGGAGGGGUAAGCGGAAUUCCGUGUGUAGCAGUGAAAUGCGUAGAUAUACGGAGGAACACCUGAGGCGAACGCGGCUUACUGGACCAAUACUGACACUGAGGAUCGAAAGCGUGGGUAGCAAACAGGAUUAGAUACCCUGGUAGUCCACGCCCUAAACGAUGUCAACUAGCCGUUGCGGGUAUCGACCCCUGCAGUGGCGCAGCUAACGCGAUAAGUUGACCGCCCUGGGGAGUACGGUCGCAAGAUUAAAACUC